rnacentral:lncRNA from 1 species
AAUCAAUCAAAAUUACCAAAUCAAAAUUUUCCAAAAACCCUAAAACCUAGAAAAAUUAUAGAUUUUGAAAAAUUGUACCUGUCUGUCGGAGACAGUGAGAGACAAAAGGGAGAAGGAGAUAGAGAAAGCUUAUGUGGUGGUGACCAGUGGCGGCAAAUGGAUUUNNNGAGAGAGAGAGAAAGGUGGUGCGGUCGAGCAGAGAGAGAGAUAGGUGGCGGACGGUGGUGAGAGGCGAGUGGUGGUGGUCACUGGUCGAAGCUUUUCUUUAUGCGUUUAAUUUUC